rnacentral:rRNA from 1 species
AUUGAACGCUGGCGGAAUGCUUUACACAUGCAAGUCGAACGGCAGCACGGGGGCAGCCCUGGUGGCGAGUGGCGAACGGGUGAGUAAUACAUCGGAACGUGCCCGGUCGUGGGGGAUAACGUAGCGAAAGUUACGCUAAUACCGCAUACGAUCUGAGGAUGAAAGCGGGGGACCUUCGGGCCUCGCGCGAUCGGAGCGGCCGAUGUCAGAUUAGGUAGUUGGUGGGGUAAAGGCCUACCAAGCCGACGAUCUGUAGCUGGUCUGAGAGGACGACCAGCCGCACUGGGACUGAGACACGGCCCAGACUCCUACGGGAGGCAGCAGUGGGGAAUUUUGGACAAUGGGCGCAAGCCUGAUCCAGCCAUUCCGCGUGCAGGACGAAGGCCUUCGGGUUGUAAACUGCUUUUGUACGGAACGAAAAGGCUCUGGCUAAUACCUGGGGCUCAUGACGGUACCGUAAGAAUAAGCACCGGCUAACUACGUG